UACGUAGGAUGCAAGCGUUGUCCGGAAUUAUUGGGCGUAAAGAGCGCGCAGGCGGUAUGACAAGUCAGAUGUGAAAGAGGCCGGCUUAACCGGCAAGGGUCAUUUGAAACUGUCAGACUAGAGUGCAGCAGAGGAUAGUGGAAUUCCCGGUGUAGUGGUGAAAUGCGCAGAUAUCAGGAGGAACACCGAUGGCGAAGGCAGGUCUCUGGGCCACUACUGACGCUGAGAAGCGAAAGCAUGGGGAGCGAACAGG
rnacentral:rRNA from 1 species